rnacentral:rRNA from 1 species
UACGGGAGGCAGCAGUGGGGAAUAUUGCACAAUGGGCGAAAGCCUGAUGCAGCUAUGCCGCGUGUAUGAAGAAGGCCUUAGGGUUGUAAAGUACUUUCAGCAGGGGAGGAAAGAAAUAAAACUAAUAAUUUUAUUUUGUGACGUUACCUGAAGAAGAAGCACCGGCUAACUCCGUGCCAGCAGCCGCGGGUAAUACGGAGGGUGCAAGCGUUAAUCAGAAUUACUGGGCGUAAAGAGCGCGUAGGUGGUUUUUUAAGUCAGAUGUGAAAUCCCUAGGCUUAACCUAGGAACUGCAUUUUGAAACUGAAAAACUAGAGUAUCGUAGAGGGAGGUAGAAUUCUAGGUGUAGCGGUGAAAUGCGUAGAUAUCUGGAGGAUACCUGUGGCGAAAGCGGCCUCUAAACGAAUACUGACACUGAGGUGCGAAAGCGUGGGGAGCGAAACAGGGAUUUAGAUACC